rnacentral:tRNA from 1 species
AGGCUGUUCAAGCGCCUCAUAACCGCUUGGUUGGGGGUUCGAGUCCCUCCGGGCCCACCA